rnacentral:tRNA from 1 species
GCCUGGCUGGGUCAGUUGGUAUAGCAUGAGACUCUUAAUCUCAGGGUUGUGAGUUCGAGCCCCAUGUUGGGUA